AAACUACUCUUGCUAGUGACCCUGUAGAACAGAUCUGAAACGAGAACGUUCUAAACAAUUAAGAAACUUUCAAUCAACGGAUCUCUUGGCUUCCUCGGCCAUCGAUGAAGGAACGCAGACGAUAUAUGCGAGUAAAGCUACGUAGUGAAGUUGUCGAGCACAUUCAGUGAACUCAUCGAGACUCUUUGAACGCACAUUGCGCCCUUUGGUAUUCCUUAGGGCAUGCCUGUUCGAGCGUCAUUUAAACCUUCAAGCUCAGCUUGGUGUNGGGUGACUGUCCGCUUGCGGACUCGCCUCAAAAUGAUUGGCGGCCGGUACUUUUGGCUUCGAGCGCAGCAGAAACGCGAACUCGAGGCCUGUGUGCUGGCUCCCAGAAGCUAUCUUCACAAGUUUUCGACCUCGGAUCAGGUAAGGGAUACCCGCUGAACUUAAGCAUAUCAAUAAGCGGAGGAA
rnacentral:rRNA from 1 species